CUGGUUUUCCCUUCGUUCGGAAUUAUUUGUCACAGAAAUGGAUGUAUCUAGACGUAUUUUAGUUCUAGAUACAUCCAUUUUCGAGACAAGUAAUUCCGAACAGAGGGAGUAGUAA
rfam:Triticum urartu cultivar G1812 contig44272, whole genome shotgun sequence.